UUAUACCUACGGGGGGCAGCAGUGGGGAAUAUUGCACAAUGGGGGAAACCCUGAUGCAGCGACGCCGCGUGGGCGAGGAAGUACCUCGGUAUGUAAAGCCCUAUCAGCAGGGAAGAAACAGGACAGUACCUGACUAAGAAGCCCCGGCUAACUACGUGCCAGCAGCCGCGGUAAUACGUAGGGGGCAAGCGUUAUCCGGAUUUACUGGGUGUAAAGGGAGCGUAGACGGCAUGGCAAGUCUGAUGUGAAAACCCGGGGCUCAACCCCGGGACUGCAUUGGAAACUGUCAGGCUAGAGUGUCGGAG
rnacentral:rRNA from 1 species